GUAUGCCUGGCUCCCUGUAUGCCAUUUGCUUAGUCCAUUUUAGUACGAGAUGGCCUUUGUGGAUGGCGUGCGAGGAGCCAUGCAUAU